rnacentral:rRNA from 1 species
GAUGAACGCUGGCGGCGUGCCUAACACAUGCAAGUCGAACGGACGAGAAGAGCUUGCUCUUCGAGUUAGUGGCGGACGGGUGAGUAACGCGUGAGCAAUCUGCCUUUCAGAGGGGGAUAACAUUGGGAAACCGGUGCUAAUACCGCAUGAUGUGCGAGGGUCGCAUGACUCUUGUACCAAAGGAGCAAUCCGCUGAAAGAUGAGCUCGCGUCUGAUUAGCUAGUUGGUGAGGUAACGGCCCACCAAGGCGACGAUCAGUAGCCGGACUGAGAGGUUGAACGGCCACAUUGGAACUGAGAUACGGUCCAGACUCCUACGGGAGGCAGCAGUGGGGAAUAUUGGGCAAUGGGCGCAAGCCUGACCCAGCAACGCCGUGUGAAGGAAGAAGGUCUUCGGAUUGUAAACUUUGUCUUAUGGGACGAUAAUGACGGUACCAUAGGAGGAAGUCACGACUAACUACGUG